ensembl:lncRNA
CAUGUGUCCACUGCUUCCAGCUGUGCGCCAGUCUUUGUGCUGAUGAACCACAGAAGGCCUCCCUCAGCAGUAUCUUCAAGAUGUGAAGGAAUAUCUGUGAGAAGUAAAAACUUGCUUGGCAAGCAAAUAGGUUGCAAGUGGUGAACAGCGUGAAUCUACACAUCUGGCCUGCUGCAGGACAGAAAGCCUGACAUUUGGAGUGACUUGGCAGCCUCCUGUGUUCCAGAAGUCCUGUUGAAAGCCAAAACAGUAUCAAGGGACUGUUUGCUGGUGCUUGGUCUAAAGCAGCAAGCUCCCCUUCCGAUGCUGAAAGGCCACUGUGAGGUCACCUCAACUGGAGCUGGAUCUUCUGAGUGCAGAACUGAAUGAACCUCAGCUGCUGGAUUUGGGAGGCUGCAAGGAGCAAGCAUGGCUCUCUGACAGAACAAAUAAGAUGACAUUUUAGCAACAACUUUGAAGGAUUUGAGCUACUGGAGGGUGAAACAGUGACCUUAUUUUCUUGAUUAAGGAGAGCUGAGCAAUUGUACAGCACCAGGCCAUGGAUGACUUCCUGGAUGAAAUGGAUGGGCUUGUCCUUAG